rnacentral:rRNA from 1 species
GACGUAGGAUGCGAGCGUUGUUCGGAAUUAUUGGGCGUAAAGCGUGCGUAGGCGGCUAUUUAAGUCUGGUGUUAAAGCUAGGGGCUCAACCCCUGUGUUGCACUGGAAACUGGGUAGCUUGAGUGCGGUAGGGGAAGGUGGAAUUCCGAGUGUAGCGGUGAAAUGCGUAGAUAUUCGGAAGAACACCGGUGGCGAAGGCGGCAUCCUGGACCGGUAUUGACACUGAGGCGCGAAAGCCAGGGGAGCAAACGGG